AGACGAACCGGACAAACGUUAUUCGGAAUCAUUGGGCUUAAAGGGUGCGUAGGCGGUGCGGAAAGUUGGGUGUGAAAUCCCUCGGCUCAACCGAGGAACUGCGCUCAAAACUUCCGUGCUAGAGUGAGACAGAGGUGAGCGGAACUGAUGGUGGAGCGGUGAAAUGCGUUGAUAUCAUCAGGAACAUUGGUGGCGAAGGCGGCUCACUGGGUCUCUACUGACGCUGAGGCACGAAAGCUAAGGUAGCGAACAGGAUUAGAAACCCCAGUAGUCC
rnacentral:rRNA from 1 species